rnacentral:rRNA from 1 species
UGCAGAGGAUGCUUUUGGCAAGGUGCCUUCCGAGUUCCCUGGAACGGGACGCCAUAGAGGGUGAGAGCCCCGUCUGGUCGGACACCGAGCCUCUGUAAAGCUCCUUCGACGAGUCGAGUAGUUUGGGAAUGCUGCUCAAAAUGGGAGGUAUAUGUCUUCUAAAGCUAAAUACCGGCCAGAGACCGAUAGCGCACAAGUAGAGUGAUCGAAAGAUGAAAAGCACUUUGAAAAGAGAGUUAAAUAGCACGUGAAAUUGUUGAAAGGGAAGCGUUUAUGACCAGACUUGGCCCGGUUGAUCAUCCAGCCUUCUGGCUGGUGCACUCUGCCGGUCCAGGCCAGCAUCAGUUCGUCGCGGGGGAUAAAGGUUUCGGGAAUGUAUCUCCUCCGGGAGUGUUAUAGCCCGUUGCGUAAUACCCUGCGGUGGACUGAGGUCCGCGCUCUGCAAGGAUGCUGGCGUAAUGGUCAUCAACGACCCGUCUUGAAACACGGACCAAGGAGUCGUCUUCGUAUGCGAGUGUUCGGGUGUAAAACCCCUACGCGUAAUGAAAGUGAACGCAGGUGAGAGCUUCGGCGCAUCAUCGACCGAUCCUGAUGUUCUCGGAUGGAUUUGAGUAAGAGCAUACGGGGCCGGACCCGAAAGAAGGUGAACUAUGCCUGUAUAGGGUGAAGCCAGAGGAAACUCUGGUGGAGGCUCGCAGCG